ACCGCUCAGAUGCAACAUCCUCACCCCCCCCCACCUAACCGCGCUGCGAUCUACGCAUCGCUUCGUCGGUGUAAGUCCGCGGGCUAAACAGCUCGCUCGAGACCCGCCUGGCCGUCUUCUGUUCUGCUCAGCGGUGUCCCCCGAAGCUCAGCCGCGUUCCGAGGCACGCGCAGCCGGGGACGAUGGGACGGAGGGGCAGCUCCUUGCGCAGGACGGUGGGAUAUGGCUGUAGCUUGGAGCCCCUCGGAGACUUCGUCUAGCAGUGGAGUGACCAUUGCUGUGUUUGUAUAUUUGCUCAUCAUGAUCGCGACAUAUCUGUAUAUGACGGAUUUGGGGGGGGGGAGAGGGAAGCUUUCAUCCAGCAGUGGAUUGACCACGUCUUGUGCGUAUGAUGAUAACGACAUACACAUAUCAAGUGCGAAUAUACACGUGUGUAGUUAUAUAUCUAUGUGUGUGUGUGUACGGGGGAGCGGUAGCGCGAGUGGUUAGCGCACUACGCUAUACGAACCCAGAAGCUCAUACGAGAGCAGUUCGCUUCCU